rnacentral:rRNA from 1 species
AGGACGAACGCUGGCGGCGUGCUUAACACAUGCAAGUCGAGCGGAAAGGCCCUUCGGGGUACGUCGAGCGGCGAACGGGUGAGUAACACGUGAGCAACCUGCCCCUGGCUCUGGGAUAGCCUCCGGAAACGGGGAUUAAUACCGGAUAUUCACUGCUCCCUGCAUGGGGGGUGGUGGAAAGUUUUUCGGCUAGGGUGGGGCUCGCGGCCUAUCAGCUUGUUGGGGGGUGACGGCCCACCAAGGCGACGACGGGUAG